rnacentral:rRNA from 1 species
UACGUAGGGUGCAAGCGUUGUCCGGAAUUAUUGGGCGUAAAGAGCUCGUAGGCGGUUUGUUGCGUCGGCUGUGAAAUCCCGAGGCUCAACCUCGGGUCUGCAGUCGAUACGAGCAAACUAGAGUGUUGCAGGGGAGACUGGAAUUCCUGGUGUAGCGGUGAAAUGCGCAGAGUAUCAGGAGGAACACCGGUGGCGAAGGCGGGUCUCUGGGCAACAACUGACGGCUGAGGCGCGAAAGCCAGGGGAGGCGAACGGG